GUGAGGAAUAUUGGUCAAUGGGCGGGAGCCUGAACCAGCCAAGUCGCGCGAAGGAAGAAGGAUCUAUGGUUCGUAAACUUCUUUUGCAGGGGAAUAAAGUGCAGGACGUGUCCUGUUUUGUAUGUACCAUGAGAAUAAGGAUCGGCUAACUCCGUGCCAGCAGCCGCGGUAAUACGGAGGAUCCGAGCGUUAUACGGAUUUAUUGGGUUUAAAGGGUGCGUAGGUGGGUUGAUAAGUCAGCGGUGAAAGUUUGCAGCGUAACAGUAAAAAUGACGUUGAAACUGUCGGACUUGAGUGUAAAUGAAGUAGGCGGAAUGCUUGGUAUAGCGUGGAAAUGCAUAGAUAUCACGCAGAACUCCGAUUGGGAAGGCAGCUUACUAAGCUACAACUGACACUGAUGCACGAAAGCGUGGAGAUCAAACAGUAUUAGAUACCCGGGUAGUCC
rnacentral:rRNA from 1 species